rnacentral:rRNA from 1 species
AGUAAUGUAUGGGGAUCUGCCCGAUAGAGGGGGAUAACUACUGGAAACGGUGGCUAAUACCGCAUAAUGUCUACGGACCAAAGCAGGGGCUCUUCGGACCUUGCACUAUCGGAUGAACCCAUAUGGGAUUAACUAGUAGGUGGGGUAAAGACUCACCUAGGCGACGAUCUCUAGCUGGUCUGAGAGGAUGAUCAGCCACACUGGGACUGAGACACGGCCCAG